CCUACGGGCGGCAGCAGUGGGGAAUAUUGGACAAUGGGCGAAAGCCUGAUCCAGCCAUGCCGCGUGUGUGAAGAAGGCCUUCGGGUUGUAAAGCACUUUCAGUGGGGAAGAAAGCCUUGGGGCUAAUACCCUCGAGGAAGGACAUCACCCACAGAAGAAGCACCGGCUAACUCCGUGCCAGCAGCCGCGGUAAUACGGAGGGUGCGAGCGUUAAUCGGAAUUACUGGGCGUAAAGCGCGCGUAGGCGGUCUGAUAAGCCGGUUGUGAAAGCCCCGGGCUCAACCUGGGAACGGCAUCCGGAACUGUCAGGCUAGAGGGCAGGAGAGGAAGGUAGAAUUCCCGGUGUAGCGGUGAAAUGCGUAGAGAUCGGGAGGAAUACCAGUGGCGAAGGCGGCCUUCUGGACUGACACUGACGCUGAGGUGCGAAAGCGUGGGUAGCAAACAGGAUUAGAUACCCUAGUAGC
rnacentral:rRNA from 1 species